rnacentral:rRNA from 1 species
AGGAAUCUGCCUAUUAGUGGGGGACAACAUCUCGAAAGGGAUGCUAAUACCGCAUACGUCCUACGGGAGAAAGCAGGGGACCUUCGGGCCUUGCGCUAAUGGAUGAGCCUAAGUCGGAUUAGCUAGUUGGUGGGGUAAAGGCCUACCAAGGCGACGAUCUGUAGCGGGUCUGAGAGGAUGAUCCGCCACACUGGGACUGAGACACGGCCCAGACUCCUACGGGAGGCAGCAGUGGGGAAUAUUGGACAAUGGGGGGAACCCUGAUCCAGCCAUGCCGCGUGUGUGAAGAAGGCCUUUUGGUUGUAAAGCACUUUAAGCGAGGAGGAGGCUACCGAGAUUAAUACUCUUGGAUAGUGGACGUUACUCGCAGAAUAAGCACCGGCUAACGCUGUGCCAGCAGCCGCGGUAAUACAGAGGGUGCAAGCGUUAAUCGGAUUUACUGGGCGUAAAGCGCGCGUAGGUGGCCAAUUAAGUCAAAUGUGAAAUCCCCGAGCUUAACUUGGGAAUUGCAUUCGAUACUGGUUGGCUAGAGUAUGGGAGAGGAUGGUAGAAUUCCAGGU